GAUGAACGCUGGCGGCGUGCCUAAUACAUGCAAGUCGAGCGAACAGACGAGAGUGCUUGCCCUCUCUGACGUUAGCGGCGGACGGGUGAGUAACACGUGGGUAACCUACCUAUAAGACUGGGAUAACUUCGGGAAACCGGAGCUAAUACCGGAUAAUAUUUAGCUUCGCAUGAAGCAAUAGUGAAAGACGGUUCUGCUGUCACUUAUAGAUGGACCCGCGGUGUAUUAGCUAGUUGGUGAGGUAACGGCUCACCAAGGCAACAAUACAUAGCCGACCUGAGAGGGUGAUCGGCCACACUGGGACUGAGACACGGCCCAGACUCCUACGGGAGGCAGCAGUAGGGAAUCUUCCGCAAUGGACGAAAGUCUGACGGAGCAAUGCCGCGUGAGUGAAGAAGGUUUUCGGAUCGUAAAACUCUGUUGUAAGGGAAGAACAAGUACGUUAGUAACUGAACGUACCUUGACGGUACCUUACCAGAAAGCCACGGCUAACUACGUG
rnacentral:rRNA from 1 species